CCAUAAUGGUAUUUAGCCUUGGA
rnacentral:siRNA from 1 species